CAUGAUACGGAUGAACUACAAAAAAUCACAUAUAAAUAGAAUUGAUUUGAUCAUUCAGAGAUGGUAAUUUGUCAAAUAAGAAAUUGAAAUAAACUGCAUUUGAUAAAAAUAUCAGGAUGAAGGCUGUUGCUUUUCUGGUUGUCUUUCUUGCUGUAGCACUUACAGAAACCAAUGCUGGUAAUAUUGAGUGUCUUGCUGCAACAACUACAUGCGCAUCAAAGUUGGCUGCUGUUACCACGAAUUCCGAUUGCGCGAAGAAAGAACCUUACUUUAAAUGUUUGACAGAUAACGGCUGUUCAACAGAUGACGCCGCUUAUGAAGGUCAAGUUACUGUGUUAAAUUAUAGCAAGUGUAACAGUGGUGUUGCUCUAGCCAUAACAUGGAUGUUGCCAUUAGUAAUGCUAGUAAUGUCAAAGACGUUCUCUGAUUAAUAAACAAGAAGAAGAAGAAGACGCUCCCAUAUCCAUAAAUCCACAGGGUAUUAGUGCCCACCCAACAUUAGCGUAUGAUAUACAUGCCCAACCUUAAAAUAUGUAAAAAUACCAUUAAAAUAUUAUAUAUAAAAACAAAUUUAAUCCCCUUAAAAGUAACAUUAAUAGGUCCAAUAAAAUAAAAUACACAGUUAGUAAUCUCUCCUAAUUUUCAAUGAUUUCUAAGGUUCUUGAAUAUAUAUAUAUAUUAAAGUAGAUAAAGUAUAAUGAUUUAAUGUAUGUCAGAAUGAAGUAAAGUGGAG